UGGGGAAUUUUGGACAAUGGGGGAAACCCUGAUCCAGCCAUCCCGCGUGUGCGAUGAAGGCCUUCGGGUUGUAAAGCACUUUUGGCAGGAAAGAAACGUCGCGGGUUAAUACCCCGCGAAACUGACGGUACCUGCAGAAUAAGCACCGGCUAACUACGUGCCAGCAGCCGCGGUAAUACGUAGGGUGCAAGCGUUAAUCGGAAUUACUGGGCGUAAAGCGUGCGCAGGCGGUUCGGAAAGAAAGAUGUGAAAUCCCAGAGCUUAACUUUGGAACUGCAUUUUUAACUACCGGGCUGGAGUGUGUCAGAGGGAGGUGGAAUUCCGCGUGUAGCAGUGAAAUGCGUAGAUAUGCGGAGGAACACCGAUGGCGAAGGCAGCCUCCUGGGAUAACACUGACGCUCAUGCACGAAAGCGUGGGGAGCAAACAGGAUUAGAUACCCUGGUAGUCCACGCCCUAAACGAUGUCAACUAGCUGUUGGGGCCUUCGGGCCUUGGUAGCGCAGCUAACGCGUGAAGUUGACCGCCUGGGGAGUACGGUCGCAAGNUUAAAACUCAAAUGAAUGACGGGGUCAUAGCUGUUUCCU
rnacentral:rRNA from 1 species